rnacentral:rRNA from 1 species
UACGUAGGUGGCAAGCGUUGUCCGGAAUUAUUGGGCGUAAAGCGCGCGCAGGUGGUUCCUUAAGUCUGAUGUGAAAGCCCACGGCUCAACCGUGGAGGGUCAUUGGAAACUGGGGAACUUGAGUGCAGAAGAGGAUGGUGGAAUUCCAAGUGUAGCGGUGAAAUGCGUAGAGAUUUGGAGGAACACCAGUGGCGAAGGCGACUAUCUGGUCUGUAACUGACACUGAGGCGCGAAAGCGUGGGGAGCAAACAGG